UGGGGAAUUUUGGACAAUGGACGCAAGUCUGAUCCAGCCAUGCCGCGUGCGGGAAGAAGGCCUUCGGGUUGUAAACCGCUUUUGUCAGGGAAGAAACGAGUUUCUCUAAUACAGAGACUUAAUGACGGUACCUGAAGAAUAAGCACCGGCUAACUACGUGCCAGCAGCCGCGGUAAUACGUAGGGUGCGAGCGUUAAUCGGAAUUACUGGGCGUAAAGCGUGCGCAGGCGGUUAUAUAAGACAGAUGUGAAAUCCCCGGGCUCAACCUGGGACCUGCAUUUGUGACUGCAUAGCUAGAGUGCGGCAGAGGGGGAUGGAAUUCCGCGUGUAGCAGUGAAAUGCGUAGAUAUGCGGAGGAACACCGAUGGCGAAGGCAAUCCCCUGGGCCUGUACUGACGCUCAUGCACGAAAGCGUGGGGAGCAAACA
rnacentral:rRNA from 1 species